UACAGAGGGUGCGAGCGUUGUUCGGAAUUAUUGGGCGUAAAGGGCGCGUAGGCGGCGCCACAAGUCACUUGUGAAAACUCUGGGCUCAACUCAGAGCCUGCAAGCGAAACUGUGGUGCUGGAGUAUGGGAGAGGUGCGUGGAAUUCCCGGUGUAGCGGUGAAAUGCGUAGAUAUGCGGAGGAACACCGAUGGCGAAGGCAAUCCCCUGGGCCUGCACUGACGCUCAUGCACGAAAGCGUGGGGAGCAAACAGG
rnacentral:rRNA from 1 species